rnacentral:rRNA from 1 species
GUAGUCAUAUGCUUGUCUCAAAGAUUAAGCCAUGCAUGUCUAAGUAUAAGCAAUUAUACAGCGAAACUGCGAAUGGCUCAUUAUAUAAGUUAUCGUUUAUCUGAUAGUGCCUGUCCUACUGGGAUAACCGUGGUAAUUCUAGAGCUAAUACCUGCUGAAAGUCCCGACUUCGAAAGGGAUGUAUUUAUUAGAUUCAAAGCCAAUGCCCUUCGGGGCUUCUUGGUGAUUCAUGAUAACUUCACGGAUCGCACGGCCCUGCGCCGGCGAUGGUUCAUUCAAAUUUCUUCCCUAUCAACUUUCGAUGUUUGGGUCUUGGCCAAACAUGGUUGCAACGGGUAACGGAGGGUUAGGGCUCGACCCCGGAGAAGGAGCCUGAGGAACGGCUACUACAUCCAAGGAAGGCAGCAGGCGCGCAAAUUACCCAAUCCCGAUUCGGGGAGGUAGUGACAAUAAAUACUGAUACAGGGCUCUUUAGGGUCCUGUAAUUGGAAUGAGUACAAUUUACAUCCCUUAACGAGGAACAAUUGGAGGGCAAGUCUGGUGCCAGCAGCC